UACGGGGGGGGCAAGCGUUGUUCGGAAUUACUGGGCGUAAAGGGCGCGUAGGCGGCCAAUCAAGUCGGAGGUGAAAGCCCAGGGCUCAACCCUGGAAUUGCCUUCGAUACUGUUUGGCUCGAGACCGGAAGAGGUAAGUGGAACUGCGAGUGUAGAGGUGAAAUUCGUAGAUAUUCGCAAGAACACCAGUGGCGAAGGCGGCUUACUGGUCCGGUUCUGACGCUGGGGCGCGAAAGCGUGGGGAGCAAACAGG
rnacentral:rRNA from 1 species